rnacentral:ncRNA from 1 species
AAAAACUAAAGCGCUGGUGCUUGCCUCGGAGCGGAAGAGAGAGCAAGCAGACGAGGAAGAGGUUUAUCGAAAAGUCAGCGGAUGCCUCUCGGCGACUGCCGUCGUCAGCAGUUUUCCCAAAACCUCCGGGUAACCGGACCGACAAAAG